rnacentral:ncRNA from 1 species
AGCAUGAUACAGUAGCAACUUAACAUAGUACAUGAGUUACUGUUGAUUCAAAGAAAUGGUCAUCGCUCUUGGUUUAAAAGCCAAUGUUACGAAACUAACAUUUGCUAAAUUAUGACUCAUCACGUCUAACUCAGAAUCCAAGCUAGGAAGAGGGACGCUUCCCUUCGAGCCGUUCCUACAAUAAGGUUUCACAAGCACCCCAGAGGCUCAUAUCGUUGGUGAAGUUUCAAGGGGUGGAUGGAUGAGCAGGAUCGCUUUGCAGUGCGAUUCUCGUUGGGCGGAAGGCAAAAUUAUUUGCUGAUGACUUGAAUAAAUUGCGGCUAUAAUAAGUGGCUGAGUGACUUUUCUACCACAAUCAUCUGACCAUGUCAUGCAAGUUUUGUGUAUUU